rnacentral:rRNA from 1 species
GCCCGGGCUUCGGCCUGGUUAUUCAUAACCCUUUGUUGUCCGACUCUGUUGCCUCCGGGGCGACCCUGCCUUCGGGCGGGGGCUCCGGGUGGACACUUCAAACUCUUGCGUAACUUUGCAGUCUGAGUAAACUUAAUUAAUAAAUUAAAACUUUUAACAACGGAUCUCUUGGUUCUGGCAUCGAUGAAGAACGCAGCGAAAUGCGAUAAGUAAUGUGAAUUGCAGAAUUCAGUGAAUCAUCGAAUCUUUGAACGCACAUUGCGCCCCCUGGUAUUCCGGGGGGCAUGCCUGUUCGAGCGUCAUUUCACCACUCAAGCCUCGCUUGGUAUUGGGCAACGCGGUCCGCCGCGUGCCUCAUAUCGUCCGGCUGGGUCUUCUGUCCCCUAAGCGUUGUGGAAACUAUUCGCUAAAGGGUGUUCGGGAGGCUACGCCGUAAAACAACCCCAUUUCUAAGGUUGACCUCGGAUCACGUAGGGAUACCCGCUGAACU